GUACACGGAGAGCAAGCGACGUCAGUAAGACGAAGGGUGUAAGUGUUGCGCUGAAUUACUGGGCGUAAAGCGCAGUGCGGCUGCUUGCUAAGUCGGGAGUGAAAUCCGGGAGCUCACUUCCAUAAUUGCCUUCGAUACUGGAAGGCUCGAUUCCGUGAGAGGUGAGUGGGACUGCGAGUGUAGAGGUGAAAUUCGUGGAUAUUCGCAAGAACACCAGGGGCGAAGGCGGCUCACUGGCCCGGUACUGACGCUGAGGUGCGAAAGCGUGGGGAGCAAACAGGAUUAGAUACCCGAGUAGUC
rnacentral:rRNA from 1 species